rnacentral:rRNA from 1 species
AACGAACGCUGGCGGCGUGCUUAACACAUGCAAGUCGAACGAGAAGUACGUAGCAAUACGUAUUGUAAAGUGGCGCACGGGUGAGUAACACGUGGGUAAUCUGCCCUCGAGUUUGGGAUAACCCCGCGAAAGCGGGGCUAAUACCGAAUAAGACCACGGGGACCAAAGUCCCUGAGGUAAAAGGUGGCCUCUAUUUAUAAGCUACCACUUGAGGAUGAGCCCGCGGCCCAUUAGCUAGUUGGCAGGGUAACGGCCUACCAAGGCUAUGAUGGGUAGCUGGUCUGAGAGGACGAUCAGCCACACUGGAACUGAGACACGGUCCAGACUCCUACGGGAGGCAGCAGUGGGGAAUAUUGCGCAAUGGGCGAAAGCCUGACGCAGCAACGCCGCGUGGGGGAUGAAGGUUCUCGGAUUGUACCCCUUUCGAUCGGAACGAAUCCCCUCCUGGUGAACAAUCAGGAGGAUCGACGGUACCGAGAGAAGAAGCCACGGCUAACUCUGUGCCAGCAGCCGCCGUA